AAGGAUAGCUAGACAUGUGGGCUUAUGUGGGAAAACAGAAGGCCCUGGCACAAAAUCACAAUGCAGACAGUGAAAUUGAUUGUUACCUAACAAGACCUGAAGCCAAGGGAGCUCUGAUGCUCAGAGAAGAUGAUGGGGUGCUCAUGGAUUAGCGCACGGUCCGAUAUUUCCCUGUGGUUCUCCGCUCACUGGAUGCCUGAUUCUCUUGUACUGUGCUUUAAAAACAGCAAUGUUCAGAGUCACAGUGGAGUCAGGAAGAGGGAGCUUGCCAUUAGUCCUGAUUAUUUAAGCAAACUCCCGUUCUUUCCUCCCGCAUCCUGCUCUCAAACCUCCAAUGUGCUGUGUGCAGAUGUGCUAUGGGUUCCUAGGAGAAUGCUGUGAUACAGACAGCGGGACUGGUCUCCUCUUGCCCCUCCCCAUCCCAUUUGUGCUGGGGGAAAUGUAGUCACAUCAUUUGCAUUUAUCAGGAGAAUAUGCCUCCUUGUCUGUAGCCUUUAGUCUGACUGAAUUGCUUUUCUGCUUCAUGAAACACACAGCGCGGCAGCCCAGUGCUCCUUUCUCCUCCUCACUUCACCGGCGUCGGGCCGUAACCCACUUUGCUCUCCAGCGCAUUUAUCAUAUUGAUCGUAUAAGAAAUAGAUCAUAAGCAGAAUGAAAUUACCGAAUGCAAUGAUCUGGGGCAUCCUAUGGACCAGAUCAAUCUUGGGGCAGCCAGGAAAAAAAGUCCCUUGCUGUGACGUUUUCCGAAGUUGAUUUUCAUUGCAGAUAGAAAUUUCCAUCAGCUGAGGCACCCUGGAGGGAAAAGUCUGCUGUGCUGACAAGGGGUGUGUGUGUGUGUGUGUGU
rnacentral:lncRNA from 1 species